rnacentral:rRNA from 1 species
GAAGGUGUGCUGUGAGGCAUGCUGGAGGUAUCAGAAGUGCGAAUGCUGACAUAAGUAACGAUAAAGCGGGUGAAAAGCCCGCUCGCCGGAAGACCAAGGGUUCCUGUCCAACGUUAAUCGGGGCAGGGUGAGUCGACCCCUAAGGCGAGGCCGAAAGGCGUAGUCGAUGGGAAACAGGUUAAUAUUCCUGUACUUGGUGUUACUGCGAAGGGGGGACGGAGAAGGCUAUGUUGGCCGGGCGACGGUUGUCCCGGUUUAAGCGUGUAGGCUGGUUUUCCAGGCAAAUCCGGAAAAAAAAGGCUGAGGCGUGAUGACGAGGCACUACGGUGCUGAAGCAACAAAUGCCCUGCUUCCAGGAAAAGCCUCUAAGCAUCAGGUAACAUCAAAUCGUACCCCAAACCGACACAGGUGGUCAGGUAGAGAAUACCAAGGCGCUUGAGAGAACUCGGGUGAAGGAACUAGGCAAAAUGGUGCCGUAACUUCGGGAGAAGGCACGCUGAUAUGUAGGUGAAGACCCUCGCGGAUGGAGCUGAAAUCAGUCGAAGAUACCAGCUGGCUGCAACUGUUUAUUAAAAACACAGCACUGUGCAAACACGAAAGUGGACGUAUACGGUGUGACGCCUGCCCGGUGCCGGAAGGUUAAUUGAUGGGGUAAGCGCAAGCGAAGCUCUUGAUCGAAGCCCCGGUAAACGGCGGCCGUAACUAUAACGGUCCUAAGGUAGCGAAAUUCCUUGUCGGGUAAGUUCCGACCUGCACGAAUGGCGUAAUGAUGGCCAGGCUGUCUCCACCCGAGACUCAGUGAAAUUGAACUCGCUGUGAAGAUGCAGUGUACCCGCGGCAAGACGGAAAGACCCCGUGAACCUUUACUAUAGCUUGACACUGAACAUUGAGCCUUGAUGUGUAGGAUAGGUGGGAGGCUUUGAAGUGUGGACGCCAGUCUGCAUGGAGCCGACCUUGAAAUACCACCCUUUAAUGUUUGAUGUUCUAACGUUGACCCGUAAUCCGGGUUGCGGACAGUGUCUGGUGGGUAGUUUGACUGGGGCGGUCUCCUCCUAAAGAGUAACGGAGGAGCACGAAGGUUGGCUAAUCCUGGUCGGACAUCAGGAGGUUAGUGCAAUGGCAUAAGCCAGCUUGACUGCGAGCGUGACGGCGCGAGCAGGUGCGAAAGCAGGUCAUAGUGAUCCGGUGGUUCUGAAUGGAAGGGCCAUCGCUCAACGGAUAAAAGGUACUCCGGGGAUAACAGGCUGAUACCGCCCAAGAGUUCAUAUCGACGGCGGUGUUUGGCACCUCGAUGUCGGCUCAUCACAUCCUGGGGCUGAAGUAGGUCCCAAGGGUAUGGCUGUUCGCCAUUUAAAGUGGUACGCGAGCUGGGUUUAGAACGUCGUGAGACAGUUCGGUCCCUAUCUGCCGUGGGCGCUGGAGAACUGAGGGGGGCUGCUCCUAGUACGAGAGGACCGGAGUGGACGCAUCACUGGUGUUCGGGUUGUCAUGCCAAUGGCACUGCCCGGUAGCUAAAUGCGGAAGAGAUAAGUGCUGAAAGCAUCUAAGCACGAAACUUGCCCCGAGAUGAGUUCUCCCUGACUCCUUGAGAGUCCUGAAGGAACGUUGAAGACGACGACGUUGAUAGGCCGGGUGUGUAAGCGCAGCGAUGCGUUGAGCUAACCGGUACUAAUGAACCGUGAGGCUUAACCUU